rnacentral:rRNA from 1 species
UACAGAGGGGGCAAGCGUUGUUCGGAAUUACUGGGCGUAAAGGGCGCGUAGGCGGCCUUCUAAGUCGAACGUGAAAUCCCCGGGCUCAACCCGGGAACUGCGUCUGAUACUGGAAGGCUUGAGUUCGGGAGAGGGAUGUGGAAUUCCAGGUGUAGCGGUGAAAUGCGUAGAUAUCUGGAGGAACACCGGUGGCGAAGGCGGCAUCCUGGACCGAAACUGACACUGAGGCGCGAAAGCCAGGGGAGCAAACGGG